UACGUAGGGGGCAAGCGUUGUCCGGAAUCAUUGGGCGUAAAGAGCGUGUAGGCGGUUCGGUAAGUCGGCUGUGAAAGUCCAGGGCUCAACCCUGGGAUGCCGGUCGAUACUGCCGGACUAGAGUUCGGAAGAGGCGAGUGGAAUUCCCGGUGUAGCGGUGAAAUGCGCAGAUAUCGGGAGGAACACCUAUGGCGAAGGCAGCUCGC
rnacentral:rRNA from 1 species